rnacentral:rRNA from 1 species
UACGGAGGGUGCAAGCGUUAUCCGGAUUCACUGGGUUUAAAGGGUGCGUAGGUGGGUUGGUAAGUCAGUGGUGAAAUCCCCGAGCUUAACUUGGGAACUGCCAUUGAUACUAUCAGUCUUGAAUAUUGUGGAGGUUAGCGGAAUAUGUCAUGUAGCGGUGAAAUGCUUAGAUAUGACAUAGAACACCAAUUGCGAAGGCAGCUGGCUACGCAUAUAUUGACACUGAGGCACGAAAGCAUGGGGAUCAAACAGG